UCGAGGAUCUUCGGCAAUGGGCGCAAGCCUGACCGAGCGACGCCGCGUGUGCGAUGAAGGCCUUCGGGUUGUAAAGCACUGUCGAGGGGGAGGAAAGCCGCAAGGCCUGACCGACCCCUGGAGGAAGCACGGGCUAAGUUCGUGCCAGCAGCCGCGGUAAGACGAACCGUGCGAACGUUGUUCGGAAUCACUGGGCUUAAAGGGCGCGUAGGCGGGCCCGUCGGUCCGCGGUGAAAUCCCCCGGCUCAACCGGGGAAGUGCCGCGGAUACUGCGGGCCUCGAGGGAGGUAGGGGCGUGUGGAACUUCCGGUGGAGCGGUGAAAUGCGUAGAUAUCGGAAGGAACGCCGGUGGCGAAAGCGACGCGCUGGACCUCUUCUGACGCUGAGGCGCGAAAGCCAGGGGAGCAAACGGGAUUAGAUACCCCCGUAGUCC
rnacentral:rRNA from 1 species